GCAAAAUAGUUAUCUGGCCCCUCCAAGGAAAGAAGGCAAUUCUUAAGAUGUGAAGGUGUAGGCACAGAAGAAAGGUUAAGGAAGGAGGGACACCAGGCCUUUGUGCAUUGCCACUUCUCACUUUAACAGCCCUUUCAUCAAAAUGUGUCUGCAGCUCAGAUUGCAAGCCCCCACCUAUGUUGGUUAAUUCUGCUCCACAUGGAAGAGACAGCCAUUGGGCCAGCCCUGAACCAAGAGCCACUGCUCCUACUACGGUCAAGCAAGGAGAAGGGUUUACCUCGGCGCUAUGUUAACUCUGCCAUGCUUGUUGAUAAUAAAAUUCAAAGAGAUGUGGACCAUCUGGACAUACCGCAGGAUAUUACAUUGAUCCAGUACAGCUAUGAUAUCAUGCUAAUUGGACAAGGAGUACGAUAUUCAAAUGCAAAGGAAGAGCGCAGAAACAGCCGAGGAAGAAUUGAAUCCCAAGGAAGGUAUGGAGCAUAUCAGAGAGAACCUUGAUGCCCAAAAGAGUCGAGGUCCCCAGGUUCAGUAAGUCACUGGAGUUCUGCCAGGAUUUGUGUUGGUGCUUACAAAGCUAUUUUCCUACAUCUAGGACCAAAAAUA
rnacentral:lncRNA from 1 species